UUUUAACCACCGGGUAUUCCAACAGUGUUAACGGUAACAACUACGCCGUUAUUUAUAAAAACUCAAACUUGUCAUUGUCUUCAUCCGACAGUUAUUCUGUUAUGAGGCCCACGAAUGGCUGCACCGUCGUACGAAUAUUCCCCCACAACAAGAAUAUUCCAUGACCAAACGAAUAUUCCGCGACAAAAUGAAUAUUUUAU
rnacentral:lncRNA from 1 species